rnacentral:tRNA from 1 species
GCCUCGGUGGUGGAACUGGUAGACACGCCAGACUCAAAAUCUGGUGAGCUUGCUCGUGUCGGUUCGAGUCCGACCCGAGGUACCA